rnacentral:rRNA from 1 species
UGCAGCAGCCAUACCACCUGUAAUAUAUCUGAAGCUAAGCAGGUUUGGGCCUGACCAACACUUUAAUGAGACCAACUAGGAAAGUAGGGCUGCUGCUAGAA